CCCGAGGUGACUCGCCGCCGCCAGCGGCGGCGCCGUUGCCAGAGCACGGCGGAGUCGCCGUGCCGGAGUUGCGAUUUGGGCCGAAAGGGGCCCUGGGCCUAAUUUGGGAUUUUUUUGGAACACGUGCAGGUACCAGUAGUGUGUUUCAGUUCCCCGAAGAAAAUUCAGAGAAAAUUAGGGACAGCCUGCAAGCGCACUGUGAAGCCGUGUUCGGACCCCGAAACGAGUAAGGACCCCUCACCCUAUUUCCUAUCACGGUUUUAAAGUCCAAUAAAUGAUAAAACGGUAUUUCAUGAAUCAACAAAUGUGUGAAAUUGCUUAAGAUCGCUAAU
rnacentral:lncRNA from 1 species